CUCACUGAUCUCAUCCUCUUGUCAAUCUGAAGUGGGCCUGUGCCAAAAUCAAAGGUGCCACCGUGAGAGUCACAGAGCCAUGAAAGCUCGUAACUGAGGAAGAAAGCACCUUUCAUCAUGGAGCUCUGCUCCUCACACCCUCCGAAUGCUGCUCUCAAGUUAUCCUUUAGCCUCUCGGGAACUAUUGCGUGGCUUCACCACGAGACAGUGUGAGAGUCCUCUGGUGUCACCAGGAGCUGAGUCAUCCUUUCCGAUCUACUACCAAGCAAGGUGAUGGCGCACAGAACUGUAAAUAUUUACCCAAAGAGAAGAGCAUUGUGACUUUGGCCUCCCUUUUCCUUCUCGAGAUCUUUAAAUGCAACCAGUGUCCUGCUCAUUCUAUGUUCCCAGAAGCAUGGAAAGUGUUGAUUCUGGAAGCUCAGCUCCGAGCUGGUACAAUUCUAGGCAAAAAGAUUACACUCUGGACCACCACCUAUGAGAGGAUUCUUUGCCAAGGAGCUGCCAAGCUCUUAAGUAUGAGACACUGGAAUGCAGCUCAUCACAUCUUAACACUUCCUCCAUCGGUUCUUGGCCACUGAGAGGAACAAGUGAAAGGCUGGAGAAGAGUAAGAAAGGGAUCCUGCUCUGAGGGCAGGAAGGAGAGGAAGGGGGGCGCUGAGCCCUGGCCUCUGAGCACACCUGUGGUGGCGUUACUGCUCCCCUUGGGUGGCCUCCUGCUCCUUCCACUCCUACACGAACAGACAUCAGUGGUGCUGAAGCAGGGCCAUGGGGACCAGGACACCUCUCGCCAUCGUCACAUCCUGUCCGCGGCAGGGCCUGCUCGAGGUCUCGGGGGAAGAUGUUGGCAAGGCUUUGGUUUGGCCUUCUCCUUUACUCUUAAAACAAUCCCUUUUGGUAUUUUUAAGAAUAAAAACAACAAAAAAGAAGAGCACUUGGAUUACCUAGUCCAAAUCUCUUCUACAGGAGGCAGGGUGUGCGUUAGAUGGCAGGAAUCUGGGUGAAAGGUGCAGGGAGAAGAGCGGGGAGGGAAGAGGUGACGGACUGCUGCACAUUCCUUGGGGAUCCAUGAGAUGUGGAAAUGGUGACACAGGAAGAUCCACAUGGUGUCCAGGUUUUCAGUUUGAGUGAGCGGUGGUGCUAAGGGCAUAAAUUUGAGAACAUGGGAAACAGGAAAACCAUGGAGAGAUUGGAGGGUACUGUUGAAUUACCCUUGACCAGUUAGGUGGUUGUUUCUACCAGCUUCUGAGUUACCCCAUACCCUCACGGUCACAGUGUCAUGCCAUCCUCAGGGCAAAGUGCAAAUUUUGAAAAGGAGAAAAAACUGGAUUAAAGGUCAGAGAGGCCGUGCAUUAGCAGUAUCCUGAGUGGAGCGGGGAGAUUUCAAGGGAUGACCGUGUGUCCUCCUGUUAGAGUCUUCCUCUUCUGGAAAUACUGUCCAAUGUACUGACACCGAAGAAACCAGCCUCACUGCCCCUAUAAAAAUCCUCAGUGUCGCCGCCUCUGUGAAAGUCUCCAGUGUUCCAACCGUGGGCUAACUGAGCCUCUGAUUCAGUGGCCGCCCUGACUGCUGUUAGAGCAACCAGCUAUUCCUUGUGGGUGAGCAGCUCAAAGUGAAAUUACAGAAAGAGACGGGAUACAGUGCUCUCCAACCAAGACAGAGCCUUGACUGUGGGGGAAAUUAGCUUUAAAAAUGAGUUCAUUAUUUUAUUUUAUUUUCAAAGGGACAAUUUAGCUACAGGGAUGACUCAGUUGGCACACCAUUCGGCAUGCAAACAUGGGAUCCUGAGUUCCUGCCACAAGAACCCACAUAAACCUGGGUGUGGUUGUCAUGGCCAUAAUCCCAGUUACAGGCUACCUAGCCUGUAGUGAACCCUCCCUCAAACAAGGUGGAAAGUGAGGACAGAUGGCAGAGGUUGUCCUCUGUCCUUUACGCACACGUUCUAUGGCAUGCAUGACAUGUACACACAUGCUUGUUUAAAAGGGAUGAUAGUCCAAAUUAGGAUCAGGAUUCGGCCAGGCUGAGCAUCUCUAGAUAACAGGAAUAACAUGAGGCCUCCGGAUAGUGCCAGGACCAGCACCCUGCACCCAGAGCUCUUGUCUUUUUGUCUCGGGGAUUUAGUCCUCCCUCACACACAUCCUCUUGAGCAUUUCUUUUGGAUUUAGACAACUACUUCCCGGAGCGUUCAGUGGUGCUCUCGGGGAGCCCAUUUCUGAUUCUCAUUCCCACACUAAGGCACUAGAUUAGAAAUAAGGGAUUAAGUUUAAUCCUUUUUAAAAAUGUAUUCUUCUCUCAUACAGCACAUCCUGACUGCAGCUUCCCCUCUCCAUCAUGACCCACUGCUCCUCCAUUUCCUUGUAGAAAAGAGCAGGCCUCUCAGGGAUAUCAACAGAACAUAGGAUGACAAGAUGCAAUAAGACUAGGUACAAACCCUCAUGUCAACACCCCUGAGGACAUAAUCCUUGAUCUCAGUUUGAGAAGUAAGAAACUAAGCCUAAGAAUCCUACUGUAAUCAGCGCCUUUUAGAG